GCCAUUGUGGCCUAGUGGUUUGAGUGUUGGACUAGACUCUGGAGACCAGGGUUCGAUUCCCAGCUUGGCC